rnacentral:lncRNA from 1 species
GGCAGGAGGCAAUGAAUAUACAGGCACCCAAUAAAUAUGGCCAUCAUCACAUAACCAUGAUCAUCAAUCAUUGCCUUAAUUCCACCCAUCCAAGAGGACCAUCUUCUGAAGAGGCUGAGUCUCAUCCUUUCCAAGUCUGUACAGGCACAUGGGCAAUUUUUACCAUAUGAUCUGUGAUCUCUUUUAUAAUUUUACCUGGCCAUCUAUUUGUAAGCAGCAGUUACUCAAGUUGAAUUUUUCACAAACUCCUCCAUCAGAGGCAAGUACAUACUCUAAGGCUAAACAAAGGGUUCUGGUAAAGGGCAUUCCACAUCUUAGUUUGUUUUUGAGCCAAUAUAUUGAGGGCCUCUGCGGAUUCAUUUGUUAUAAUCUCCUAAAGUGCCUGUUACCUUAUAAUGCAAUUUAUCAUAUAGAUAGGGUAUAGUAUUCCCAAGACCCAUCUUCUGCCCAAGGGGCAGGUCUAUAGUACUGAAUACUACAUACUGGGGGCCACUUAUCAUCCUUCCAAAAACCAAUCUGUAGGUCCCUUCGGGUUUUCUUGGUGCCCUGUGUUUUACAUAUUGUAAUUCCCAAUUGUUCUUUUUUUGAUAAUGGGAGCAAGAAGGAACAUGGUCGUAUUGUCCCUAAUACAAAUGCCCUAGACAAGUUACAAGAAAGCAUAGAAUAGGCCAUCUUUCCACAUAUCCAGUAUAAUCCUUUGGUGGCUCGGCAUUGGAGUCUGGCACUGACAUCACCCCAUGCCUGUUGGAGGUGAGAGAAAUUAGGGAGGGGGUUAGGAUUAGACUCCCUGUAUUUUGAGGAACCCCAGGAUUGGGUUUUCAGAGUUGUCACAUUAUAGUACCUGUAGACUAAACGUAUUAGUCUCCCAACAGGAACACUGCAUUGCUUUUCUCUUUUGGCAAGGCAGUUUCUGCCUAUGAUGGACGUUUUGAGGAACCAUAUUCCAUCGAGACAUUGGGGGUGCCUGGUCUCAUUGUAAAGCUCCAAUGGGUCUAAUUCUGUAGCCUGACAAUGCCAUUGGUCUCCCAUAUUUGUUCCCCCACAUACAUAGCAAGAAGAGACCUUUAAGGUUUGUGCAGUGGUCUCUGCUAAGGCUAAGAAGGAGUUCUUAGUUUUGACAAAUAUUGGUGGUAGGGUGUUUCCUUUCUCGUAAAAUGAAUGAACGAUCUGGUGAGAGGCAGUUUGAAGUGUGACUGUAACCCUUUGGAAGUAUAACAGAAUUCCAGGAUCAGUACCCCACCCAUGUAUGCGUAUGCCAAUCAUAAAGCCCUCCUUCCAUCUGGGUUCAUUUGUGUUGUAAAUGGUGAAAUUAACUGGGUUACAGGUUUUAGUUGGGCAGUCAGGAGGAGCUGUGCCCUUUUGAAGGAUGGCUACUUUGUUUCCUUUAUCCCAUGUAGUCCAGGACUCACAUCCCCAAUAGGGACAAUAGAAUUCAUCCAUAGCCCUGCAUCUGGCCCAGAAGGAUGUGUGUUGUUCACACAUAUAUUUAUGUUGAAGCCUGUAUGUUCGUUCCCAUGAUAGGCUUCCACAGGGAGUUGCCUCCUCCUGCAACCAAGAUCCAUCCAUAGCUUCACAGGCAUCAAAGAGAACGGACACUGGUAACUUCGGGUUGGUGAUUAGCGUUCCAGUGAUUAGAGUCCCUUUCAUGUAACGGCGCCGCACCUCUAACCACUCCUCAUUUGGUGAGUAUUGUGGGUCAAAGCAUGUAUAUCGGUCCCCGUGUUUACAAA